ACCCCCGCGGGCCGAGCCCCGGGACAGCCGGAGUGGCUGAGGUGGCCUGGAAGCUUCCAGGCCUCCGAGUCUUCUCCGGGUGGAAUCUGGGUUUUCAAUUUAUCGCAGCCCGUAUGUCCAGGGAACUACGUUACGGGCACUGGUGUCUAUCUGGCAGCAGUUCUGUGAGCUGUGAAACGAGCCCUGACUCUUCUCAGAGAGGCCUGCAAAAGUGCAGGGGGUCGGAGCGCACCGGGCCGUGUGUGCUGUCAGUGAGGGUUCCACAGAGGCUGCGUACUGUGUCUGCAGAGCGCACCAGUAUCGGAGGACUGUAGGUUUGACCAGCAUGCAGUGACAUUUCUUAAAACCGAAAUCCACUCCUGCUUGAGAAGUAGAGCCUGGAUCCCCUUUGGGAGCUCUGCCAGCCUGCACCGACCCAUGGCCUCACCAUGGCAUGGGAUGGCCCAAAUGCCAGUUGCCAUUGUGAGGCAAAGGUUCAAAAUCCAUCAAACUUGAGAGAAGCCUCCAGACCUGGCAAGACUUUCGGUUAGAAAGCGUGGGCACAUGAAGGGCCUUCUAUCUUGUGGGUGAACAGCAAGAACCAACAAGCUGAGGAUACAACCCACUAAUCGAUUCUGUGCCUCAUUACACUUUCUAAUUCAGGUAGUGUAAAUUAGACUGUUAUGUCUGCAUUUUCCCUUGGACUGUCAGCAGCACAAACAACAGCCAAUGCAGGGAGUGGUCAAUGUGGUAGCAAGCACAUGGGCCAGCAGGCCACAAACACAGCCUGACAUUGUUGCGUUCUGGAGCCGGUACUGACUUUUCUGCUGCCCCUUCUUCCAGUUGACCAAUAAGCAUUAAUUGGCUGUGAAGCUGCUUCCUGCGCCUCUGCUCAUAUUCAACGUAAUGUAAUGAUAAAGCACAGUGAGUACAUGAGUUGGUGCUGGCUGGGAUACACCUGCAUGCACUACCAUUGCAGCUUCAGGUGCGAUUUAUGUAUCUGCUUCUGGCAUGCAAGAUGUAAAAAUUACUGUGGUUCUAAUUGCAUGAUCUAACAAACGUCGCUGCAAAUUAACGCAACCACAGCAAAAGAUACAAGCCUUUUUCAUGAUUAUUGCAUGCCUCUAACGCCUAUCUCCAGCAGUGAAGAGUAGAUUCCCUGUGGGUUGAUGAAGUUUACACUCUGGAGUUAAGAACGGUAAUUAAAACUAUGUAAGUGCAGUUAUUAAUUUUCAGCUUCUGAGCUGAAGUGACAUGAGCUGCCAGUAACAACUAAACCUAUACUGCUUUGGUUCCCCUCUGUUUUCUCAAACAGACUGGAGUGUGAGAGGUGCACUAAGCCAGGCUCACUUGUACUAUUUGUUUUCCUUUUUGCUGUUUUGCUUGUUUUCAUUUUUAAUUAUGAAAGAUGGGCUCCUUCCAGCUAAGGGUCUGCACAUGGGAGAGCAUGCAGAUGCCUGCAGACUACCUCUGCACAGUCUGCAGAAGGCAACAAAAGAAAGCAAGCCUGCAGGUGCUACUACAGUGCUGCCUGUAUGUGCAGUUUCUGUAAGGGUCCACCCUUUCUCUGAAACCUUUUAGGGGCUUUCAGGGUGAAAAGGGGCUGCGAACCACAGCUCUGGAGUAAGGCUUUGUUCACAGUACUCUCAGCUCAUUUCUGUGUGCUUAUUUAUUUGUACAGCCUCUCUUAUCUCUUGUGUGCCUUGCCAUUUCCUUAAGCUCACAUCUCUGCUUCUUGACCUAUUCAACUUCUUUUGCUCAUGACGUCAGUGUUUUUUCACAUUCUGCUUCAUUCUGACCCAGAAUAAAGCCUGAACUCUCUCCU
rnacentral:lncRNA from 7 species